rnacentral:rRNA from 2 species
AGGACGAACGCUGGCGGCGUGCCUAAUACAUGCAAGUCGAACGAACUCUGGUAUUGAUUGGUGCUUGCAUCAUGAUUUACAUUUGAGUGAGUGGCGAACUGGUGAGUAACACGUGGGAAACCUGCCCAGAAGCGGGGGAUAACACCUGGAAACAGAUGCUAAUACCGCAUAACAACUUGGACCGCAUGGUCCGAGUUUGAAAGAUGGCUUCGGCUAUCACUUUUGGAUGGUCCCGCGGCGUAUUAGCUAGAUGGUGGGGUAACGGCUCACCAUGGCAAUGAUACGUAGCCGACCUGAGAGGGUAAUCGGCCACAUUGGGACUGAGACACGGCCCAAACUCCUACGGGAGGCAGCAGUAGGGAAUCUUCCACAAUGGACGAAAGUCUGAUGGAGCAACGCCGCGUGAGUGAAGAAGGGUUUCGGCUCGUAAAACUCUGUUGUUAAAGAAGAACAUAUCUGAGAGUAACUGUUCAGGUAUUGACGGUAUUUAACCAGAAAGCCACGGCUAACUACGUGCCAGCAGCCGCGGUAAUACGUAGGUGGCAAGCGUUGUCCGGAUUUAUUGGGCGUAAAGCGAGCGCAGGCGGUUUUUUAAGUCUGAUGUGAAAGCCUUCGGCUCAACCGAAGAAGUGCAUCGGAAACUGGGAAACUUGAGUGCAGAAGAGGACAGUGGAACUCCAUGUGUAGCGGUGAAAUGCGUAGAUAUAUGGAAGAACACCAGUGGCGAAGGCGGCUGUCUGGUCUGUAACUGACGCUGAGGCUCGAAAGUAUGGGUAGCAAACAGGAUUAGAUACCCUGGUAGUCCAUACCGUAAACGAUGAAUGCUAAGUGUUGGAGGGUUUCCGCCCUUCAGUGCUGCAGCUAACGCAUUAAGCAUUCCGCCUGGGGAGUACGGCCGCAAGGCUGAAACUCAAAGGAAUUGACGGGGGCCCGCACAAGCGGUGGAGCAUGUGGUUUAAUUCGAAGCUACGCGAAGAACCUUACCAGGUCUUGACAUACUAUGCAAAUCUAAGAGAUUAGACGUUCCCUUCGGGGACAUGGAUACAGGUGGUGCAUGGUUGUCGUCAGCUCGUGUCGUGAGAUGUUGGGUUAAGUCCCGCAACGAGCGCAACCCUUAUUAUCAGUUGCCAGCAUUAAGUUGGGCACUCUGGUGAGACUGCCGGUGACAAACCGGAGGAAGGUGGGGAUGACGUCAAAUCAUCAUGCCCCUUAUGACCUGGGCUACACACGUGCUACAAUGGAUGGUACAACGAGUUGCGAACUCGCGAGAGUAAGCUAAUCUCUUAAAGCCAUUCUCAGUUCGGAUUGUAGGCUGCAACUCGCCUACAUGAAGUCGGAAUCGCUAGUAAUCGCGGAUCAGCAUGCCGCGGGUNGAAUACGUUCCCGGGCCUUGUACACACCGCCCGUCACACCAUGAGAGUUUGUAACACCCAAAGUCGGUGGGGUAACCUUUUAGGACCAGCCGCCUANNUGGGACAGAUGAUUAGG